rnacentral:rRNA from 1 species
UACGUAGGGUCCGAGCGUUGUCCGGAAUUACUGGGCGUAAAGAGCUCGUAGGUGGUUUGUCGCGUUGUCCGUGAAAACUCACAGCUCAACUGUGGGCGUGCGGGCGAUACGGGCAGACUGGAGUACUGCAGGGGAGACUGGAAUUCCUGGUGUAGCGGUGGAAUGCGCAGAUAUCAGGAGGAAUACCGGUGGCGAAGGCGGCAUCCUGGACCGGCAUUGACGCUGAGGAGCGAAAGCCAGGGGAGCAAACGGG